CACAGAGAAGUUUCAUGAAGUGUUCCGUAUAUUUUGCAUCCCGGCGCUCCAUAAUUGGAGUAUGACUUCAGACGGUGGCAUUGAAACUGUCUGGUAAGAAACCCUUCGGAGGCUCUGGAUGUCUAUCAUGGUGUGUCUCGCCCACAAGCAUAUGUGUGUGUGUACCUGUGGUUUUCCUGUCGGUGAAACCCAAUAACAGUCCCAUUGCAUCAUUUUGAAUAGUUUCAGGAGAAAAUGGAUGCAGUCUUGGCAGUCGGCGAGUGUUUCCAUUGCUUUCUCCAAACCGUUUUCCUCCUCUGCUUGCCCUCCCCACAGGGAAAACGGUCAAAACAAACAGCAAAUAGUUGGUGUUGAGAGACUUGGGCACUUGGAAGGCCACAUUCCAGCAUAAGUGGAAAAAAUUAGAGUCCUUGCCGGAUUGCUGCAGCUCCCGGAGGCUUUGAUUCAAAGUUAAUUUGGGAUAGCCGCUGAGAGCUGUAGGAUUUCGAGCUGGCUAGUAAAGAUGUUGUCAGCGGGUUUUCUUCGGAAUUCCCCCACGUCAAGAACGCUCUGACCCGAAACUCGAGCAGCCUACCUGAGCAGCAGCUGUGCCAGUUUUCCAGAUAGACGGAUGGGUUUUUAACUCGUGUAACCUACAAGAAGAAAGAAACUAACGACAUAAGGAAAUGGUUCUGGUUCUCGGUUUACUUCCAACUGAAAUUUCCACUAAUUUCAGAGCCAAGUGAUGACAUAACCUGCCCUAAAUAAACAUGCCACUUCAUCGACUUUGUUUAUGAGUGUUAUGAGUUUUGAGGACAUAUUUUAACAUGCAACUGUCUAAGCUGCUUUUGAUGCCACGAUCAUGUUAUUCAAGUGAAUCCAAUUCACCGCAAUCAAUUUGCACCAAAUAUUUGUAAACAAAAUCAUUUCAUAUUAGACAGAGAGUGAAAAAGUCAAGCCCCUGUAAAAUGUGACAGGCAUGGGAACGGUCCAUCAACUGAACAUUCUGUUUUACCUUACUGUGUGUUUCCAUUCUAGACAAUUUAAUUGAUUGUAAUGCAAACAGUCUAGUUGUGUUUAGUCUUGGUAGAUCGAGUUGUUGUUGCUGAAAACUUGACUUGGCUACCAGAAAACAUCUGGUUUGUGCACAGAUUGACCACCUGAAUCAGUGGAAAAGAGGCUAUUGAAAGAACCUGUUACAUUAUUUACUAAAUAGGUUUUGCGUGCUCAAAUAUCAUUUCAGAUUAAAUGAUUGAUUAGUUUAGUAGAUUCUUGUUUCAGUUGGGCUGGAAAAUAAGAGUUUGAGAUGAAAUUUCAGCUUGAAUAUUUCAGGCUAAAUCGUCGUUUGGAGAAGUUUGGAGAAUUUUGAGAUUUGUAUCCUCCGAGGAACAACACAACAUGUAUGUAGAUGCAUUGCAUAAACUCUACUGGAGUGAAUAUUUUCAGCUGUAAGUGCAAUGUGAACAAUGAACCUGAGCUUUCCAAAUAACCCACUCCAAUUAUACGUGAAGGGAAUAUCUCCCAGAGCGAGUGAGUUGUAUCCUGAAUGGAGGUGGAUUCUAGAAGGAUUGAGUGUACCAGAAGACUAGUCUGUCAGCUUUAUUAUACUGGCUGAACACUGUGACUUAUGUCAAACAUCUGAUCCUCUGGCUUCGAAACCUAAUUAUUCACAUUCAGUGUUAGUGAAGUACUGCAUGUAAAUGAUACCAAUGCUGGAUCCCAAAGCCAUAAAGUCAACAUGAAACCAAAUUGAGUUGGUCUGAACACUUGCUGUGAGCGAUUCGUCAGUGAAUGUUUGUGUAAUAUUGUAUGAAAAUGCAAUAAUGACUUAAGUUUCAGCUAACAUCAAUUGCUCAUAUUUUUUACUUGCAAUCAUAUUGAGCCACUUUUCACCAUUCAGUGUCCCGUUACGCUCAGAAAUAUGACCGUAAAUUAGUUGGGAAUGCAUUUUCUAGUUGAUCAGAUAAUCCAAACUUAAGGUAAUACUUAUCUAAAAACUGCAUAAUAACACACCGGCAGUUGAAAAAUAUCAUUUCGUCUGGCUUUUAUUGAAAGUAACAGUGAUAAAAUGCUUUACCAGGUGAGCUUCAGUCAUGUCUGGGUCAAACGUUUACCCGCGCGAGUACGUUUGGCCCGUCAGAAAGGCUUCGGUCGUGAAUGUGACAGGCUAUUUUGUUGCAAGAAUUUCAGGAGGAGAGAUGAAGCUUUUACGUGACCGAAUGAGAAAUCUGAGCCUUAACAUUCGACAUGCAAAGCCAAAGAUGGAUGGAUGGAUCUUUUUGCGUUUCAGUCGGUGAGUUAUUCCAAACGGUAGCAGCCAAACACAUUAUUGACACAGUGAGGGCACAUUAAUAUUUUCCUAGCAUCUCAUUUGAGAAACGUUGUCAUUCUUUUUUGGAGUUCCUCUGCCUCAUCGUGACCACAGUUAAGAGAUGAGGCUUUUUCAUUGGAAUCUGGAGGAUUGCGACUCCAAGCCAAGUGGUUUUCAAAAGGGGUCUGGUCCUGACGCAGAAAUGCAACCUGGUUUAUUCAGAGAAAUCAAUGCAGUCACUAGCUCAGUGUGAAUGUAUAAAUAAACCAGUGUAAAUCUUCUCUUAACCACACGCCAGCCCUCAGACAGAAUUCUUUAUGUUGUGGG